rnacentral:rRNA from 1 species
CCUACGGGAGGCAGCAGUGGGGAAUUUUGGACAAUGGGGGCAACCCUGAUCCAGCAAUGCCGCGUGUGUGAAGAAGGCCUUCGGGUUGUAAAGCACUUUUGUCAGGAAAGAAAUCCUCUGGGUUAAUACCUCGGGGGGAUGACGGUACCUGAAGAAUAAGCAC